rnacentral:rRNA from 1 species
AUUGAACGCUGGCGGCAUGCCUUACACAUGCAAGUCGAACGGCAGCACGGGUGCUUGCACCUGGUGGCGAGUGGCGAACGGGUGAGUAAUACAUCGGAACAUGUCCUGUAGUGGGGGAUAGCCCGGCGAAAGCCGGAUUAAUACCGCAUACGAUCUACGGAUGAAAGCGGGGGACCUUCGGGCCUCGCGCUAUAGGGUUGGCCGAUGGCUGAUUAGCUAGUUGGUGGGGUAAAGGCCUACCAAGGGGACGAUCAGUAGCUGGUCUGAGAGGACGACCAGCCACACUGGGACUGAGACACGGCCCAGACUCCUACGGGAGGCAGCAGUGGGGAAUUUUGGACAAUGGGCGAAAGCCUGAUCCAGCAAUGCCGCGUGUGUGAAGAAGGCCUUCGGGUUGUAAAGCACUUUUGUCCGGAAAGAAAUCCUUGGCUCUAAUACAGUCGGGGGAUGACGGUACCGGAAGAAUAAGCACCGGCUAACUACGUG